AUCAGUCGACGAUUCCUACGGGAGGCAGCAGCAGGGAAUAUUGCACAAUGGGCGCAAGCCUGAUGCAGCGACGCCGCGUGAGGGAUGAAGGCUUUCGGGUUGUAAACCUCUUUCAGUGGGGAAGAAGCGCAAGUGACGGUACCCACACAAGAAGGCCCGGCCAACUACGUGCCAGCAGCCGCGGUAAUACGUAGGGGCCAAGCGUUAUCCGGAUUUAUUGGGCGUAAAGAGCACGUAGGUGGCAUGGUAAGUCAAAGGUGAAAGCCCUCGGCUCAACCGAGGAAUUGCCUUUGAAACUGCUUUGCUUGAGUCCGGGAGGGGGGAGCGGAAUUCCCAGUGUAGCGGUGAAAUGCGUAGAUACUGGGAGGAACACCGGUGGCGAAGGCGGCUCCCUGGACCGGUACUGACACUGAGGUGCGAAAGCGUGGGUAGCAAACAGGAUUAGAUACCCUGGUAGUCCACGCCGUAAACGAUGGGCACUAGGUGCAGCGGGUGUCGACCCCUGCUGUGCCGUAGUUAACGCAUUAAGUGCUCCGCCUGGGGAGUACGGUCGCAAGGUUGAAACUCAAAUGAAUUGACGG
rnacentral:rRNA from 1 species